rnacentral:rRNA from 1 species
GAGUUUGAUCUUGGCUCAGAUUGAACGCUGGCGGCAGGCCUAACACAUGCAAGUCGAGCGGAUGACGGGAGCUUGCUCCUUGAUUCAGCGGCGGACGGGUGAGUAAUGCCUAGGAAUCUGGCCUGGUAGUGGGGGACAACGUUUCGAAAGGAACGCUAAUACCGCAUACGUCCUACGGGAGAAAGCAGGGGACCUUCGGGCCUUGCGCUAUCAGAUGAGCCUAGGUCGGAUUAGCUAGUUGGUGGGGUAAUGGCUCACCAAGGCGACGAUCCGUAACUGGUCUGAGAGGAUGAUCAGUCACACUGGAACUGAGACACGGUCCAGACUCCUACGGGAGGCAGCGAGUGGGGAAUAUUGGACAAUGGGACGAAAGCCUGAUCCAGCCAUGCCGCGUGUGU